rnacentral:rRNA from 1 species
AUUGAACGCUGGCGGCAUGCUUUACACAUGCAAGUCGAACGGUAACAGGCCGCAAGGUGCUGACGAGUGGCGAACGGGUGAGUAAUGUAUCGGAACGUGCCCAGUCGUGGGGGAUAACGCAGCGAAAGCUGCGCUAAUACCGCAUACGAUCUAUGGAUGAAAGCGGGGGACCGUAAGGCCUCGCGCGAUUGGAGCGGCCGACAUCAGAUUAGGUAGUUGGUGGGGUAAAGGCUCACCAAGCCAACGAUCUGUAGCUGGUCUGAGAGGACGACCAGCCACACGGGGACGGAGACACGGACCGGACUCCUACGGGAGGCAGCAGUGGGGAAUUUUGGACAAUGGGCGCAAGCCUGAUCCAUCAAUGCCGCGUGCAGGAAGAAGGCCUUCGGGUUGUAAACUGCUGUUGUACGGAACGAAACGGUCUGGGUUAAUACCUCGGGCUAAUGACGGUACCGUAAGAAUAAGCACCGGCUAACUACGUGCCAGCAGCCGCCGCCG